ensembl:lncRNA
CGGGAUCCUGUCAGCGAGGGGCCGUGCCCGCGCUGGAGCCUGCCGGCGGCUGGUGACAUUCUUUUCGAAAUGCUGCGCUUAAGUUUGGCUUCUUAAUGUCAUAAUAGCAACAGCUCGACAUCUCGCGCUGCUCCUGAAGCGCAGGGUUGGUCUGUGCGCUGGUCCUGCUGUCACCUCCAUGGAGAAGCCCAAAGGCAGAAUGAGAGACAAGCGACAGGCCUCAACCAGUCUGGGAAAAUAAUAUCCCAUUAAAAUGGGAAAAAAAGGGUGAGGAGGGGCUGCAUCUAUACCCAAAAAGCUCAAAGCUUGGCAGCCUAGCAGCGGAUAUUGGACAGAAUGCCACCUUUCUCCUCCUCCCCAGUGCCAUGUGCAGGCCUGCAGCUGGGUGUCCAUAAGCAGCACCGUACCUCAUCCAAAGGCCCCCAAAAAACCUUCAGAGAAUGAUGACUACACCGGUUCUGUUAAUGCGGUUGCCUGGUCGGACUCGGCUUUUGUUCCUGAGGUGGAACCCAGAGAUGUGAGUGGAGGUGAAUGGGAUGCAGAAUCCCAGCCGGCUCCCAGGAUGGAAGCUAUAGCAGAUGGCAUGGAAGUGCCUCCAGAGAGGGCCGUGCAAAACUCACAGCUGCGUCCCACGCCGGAGCCCCGCUGGUAUCCCAGGGGUCCUGCGAGACAGAGAGGGAAACUGGGACGAGAAAGAGAUUCGCUGCGGUUUUAUCAUGCUCUCAAGGCAGUGACGGAGGACAACGAAGUGCCUGGUGGGUAUAUUACUGUCUGUGCACCAGAAGACUUGGGAAACUGACGUUCCGUGUAGAGAUGCAGAAAAUUCUGAUGUCUUUGGAGAAGUAAAGCCUCUUGAGGAUGUCAUCCUCGUGGCAAGAGCAGAUCUUUACAGUCCCACUCUGCUACCUUCUUUCUCAAGAGUUCAAUGGAGAGCCUGUGGACGGGGCUGUGUUUGAGGAGGGCAGCAGCCACACACUGCCCAUCUCCCGUGAAGGCACAGAGGACGUGCAAGUAGCUGGCGCUUCAGGUAAAGGCCGUGCACAGAGCUCUAUGCCUGACGGUUACAGGUUCUGUUGCUGUGUUUCAUUUUCGUGGCCUCCUGGAACAUUUCAUGGCAACGUCAGAGCUCUGGUGAGAUGGUCAGCUAGGCACAAGGCACAGCAGUGACCACCAUUGUUCCUUUAGGUGCACACAGUGAACAAGCUGGGAAUGGGGUCCACGUGAACGACCUCCCCAUGUUCUGCUUGAAAGGUGCUAUUGCCGUGUUUGUUCCUAUUCUGCUGAUAAUAAUUGUGUGCUGCAUUUACAUCCGGCGGCGGAGGAAGAAACACCAGCGCCUCACUGAAGCUGCCAAAGCCCGGUGUGCUGCCUACGAAGACUCAGAGUAUGCGGACAGACAGACUUGGCACCAGCGGCCUCCACGUGUGUCAGGACGUUCUGCCCGGGGGCUGCAGAGCCCCAACACAUCGCCGCCCCCCAGGCCCAAGAGUGCCCCGUCUCGGCUGCCCCCGCCGCGGCCCCCAAGGCCCAGAAGCCCCCAGCCCCGCUGGGCACCACCACCGCCACCGCCACCGCCCCCAUCCUUCAGGGGAUGGUAGCAGUUUCCCUGGGGUCAGGGAACCACGUCCCACUCCUGCACAACCGCUGGUUCCAUCAGCUGUGGCUGUCCAGGUUUGUGCUGCAGCAAUAAAGAACAUUAAGAAAGAACUGUGUUGGCUGUGUCCCAUUGGGGUGCGCUGUCCCAGAACACAUCCAAGAGUCGCCUGUUUAGAGAGGAGACCUUGCUUUGUCUGCGCUGCGCAGGACACAGGGUGGGAAAUCCCUCCAACGAGCGCGUCGUGUCCUCAGCUUGGCUUCUGUUCAGAGUGAGAAGUUUCCACGCUACACCUGCCUCGUGCGUAAGUCACGGUGACCUCGUGUGUAUUUGGGGUGAUGGAGCAGAUCUUCCUGGAAGAGAUGUGGAGGCAGCUGAGGGAUGGAGAAGCGAUCCUGGACAGCCAGCAGGGCGGCACCGAGGGCAGAUCGUGCCUGAGCCACGCGGUGGCUUUUUGUGAUGCAGAGAUGGCACUGAUGGACUCCAGGGGGGCAACUGAUGUCAUCUGCCUGGACUUGAGCAAGGCCUUCGAUGUGGUCCCGCACCACUUCCUUCCCUCUGACUCAGAGGGAGGUGGGUUCAAAGGAUGGGCUGUGGGGUGGGCGUUCAACAAAGCCGAGGGGGUGCGUUCAGAGGGGGAGUUGAUCUGGAUAGGUUGGACAGCCGGGCUGAAGCCAAUGGGAUGGGAUUCAACAAGACCAACUGCCGGGUCCUGCACUUUGGCCGCAAUAACCCCAGGCAACGCUACAGGCUUGGGGCAGAGUGGCUGGAAGACUGUGUAGAGGAAAUGGGCCUGGGGGUGUUGACUGACGCCAGACUGAACAUGAGCCAGCAGUGUGCCCAGGUGGCCAAGAAGGCCAACGGCAUCCUGGCUUGUAUCAGAAACAGUGUGGCCAGCAGGAACAGGGAGGUAAUUGUCCCCCUGUACUCAGCAGUGGUGAGGCCGCACCUCGAGUGCUGUGUCCACUUUUGGGCCCCUCACUGUAAAAAAGAUAUGGAGGCCCUGCAGCGUGUCCAGAGGAGGGCAACACAGCUGGUGAGGGCUCUGGAGCACAGACCUUAUGAGGAGCGGCUGAAGGAGCUGGGGUUGGUCAGUCUGGAGAAGAGGAGGCUCAGGGGAGGCCUUAUUGCUCUGUGUAACUGCCUGAAGGGAGGCUGUAGUGAGCUGCGUGUCGGCCUCUUCUGUCGGGUGACAGUGAUAGGAUGAGAGGGAAUGGCUUCAAGCUGCGUCAGGGAAGAUUCAGGCUGGACGUUAGGAAAUACUACUUCUCUGAAAGGGUGGUCAGGCACUGCAAUGGGCUGCCCAGAGAGGUGGUGGAGUCACCCAACCUGGUGGUGUUCAAAGAGCGUAUGGAUGUUGUGUUGAGGGACAUGGUUUGGCGGGAACCAUUGGUGAAGGACGGAUGGUUGGACUGGAUGGUCCUGUGGGUCUUUUCCAACCUUAGCGAUUCUAUGAUUCUAUGAUUUGCCUCUUGCAUGCCCUACAUCGACCCAAAUGAGAAGAGGAAACGGUUUUCUCCAGCUGCUUCGCUCAGAGGCUGCAGCACCUCUGCUAUGGAGAAAGAAUCAUACAAUCAUAGAAUUACUCAGGUUGGAAAGGACCUCAGAGAUCAUCAGGUCCAAGCGCAGCCUAACCAUA